GAUCCGGCUCAGGAUGAACGCUAGCUACAGGCUUAACACAUGCAAGUCGAGGGGCAGCAUGAACUUAGCUUGCUAAGUUUGAUGGCGACCGGCGCACGGGUGAGUAACACGUAUCCAACCUUCCGUUUACUCAGGGAUAGCCUUUCGAAAGAAAGAUUAAUACCUGAUAGUAUGGUGAGAUUGCAUGAUAACACCAUUAAAGAUUUAUUGGUAAACGAUGGGGAUGCGUUCCAUUAGGUAGUAGGG
rnacentral:rRNA from 1 species